rnacentral:rRNA from 1 species
AACGAACGCUGGCGGCAUGCCUAACACAUGCAAGUCGAACGAGACCUUCGGGUCUAGUGGCGCACGGGUGCGUAACGCGUGGGAAUCUGCCCCUUGGUUCGGAAUAACAGUUAGAAAUGACUGCUAAUACCGGAUGAUGACGAAAGUCCAAAGAUUUAUCGCCGAGGGAUGAGCCCGCGUAGGAUUAGCUAGUUGGUGAGGUAAAGGCUCACCAAGGCGACGAUCCUUAGCUGGUCUGAGAGGAUGAUCAGCCACACUGGGACUGAGACACGGCCCAGACUCCUACGGGAGGCAGCAGUGGGGAAUAUUGGACAAUGGGCGAAAGCCUGAUCCAGCAAUGCCGCGUGAGUGAUGAAGGCCUUAGGGUCGUAAAGCUCUUUUACCAGGGAUGAUAAUGACAGUACCUGGAGAAUAAGCUCCGGCUAACUCCGUGCCAG